AUGGCGAAGGUCCCUGCCGGCGAGUGGGUCCCCCACGUUGAGGCCUUCGUUGACGUCUCCCGCUCCCCCGCCCAGCACUCUGCGGGCGUGGAUGCUCUUGCAGCCUUGGUCAACAAGGACAAGCUGACGCUCUUCGAUUUGAUCUUGUUGGUGGUAUCGUUUCAGGUGUCUAAGAUGGACAUGUAUUUGACGACAACAGACCACAUUGUGAGAUCAAGAGGAAUACUGCUUCUGGGGCAAAUCAUGUCUCACAUUUCAUUUAAAUGGUUAGAUGUCAAUGCCAUCACAACAUUGUCAGACUUCUUUAUAUCAAGAUUGUCAGAUUGGCAAGCACUGCGGGGAGCUCUUGUUGGAUGCUUGGCUCUAUUGCACAGAAAAUCAUCUGUUGGCACUAUUAUGGUUGCUGAUGUCAAAAGACUAGUCGAGGCUUUUAUAGCUGAUGUUCAAGUACAGUCACUUGCAGCUGCUGACCGCAAGAUGUGCUUUGAAAUUUUUAGCUGGAUACUAGAUCAUUACCCAGAAGCUGUCAAGACAAUGGAUGAUGAAUUGCUAUACUGGAUCUGUCAAUCAAUCGAUGAAGAAAAAGACCCAGAGUGCUUGAAGCUUUCUUUUCAUGUGGUGGAAGUUGUCAUGAAGCUGUUUCCAGAUCCAUCUGGUUUCGCAGACCAAUUUGCAAGUGACCUUUUUGAGAUUCUGAGCAAAUAUUUUCCUGUUUACUUCACACAUGGAGCCGGUGAUAAUUUAGGUGUUACAAGAGACGAACUUUCUAGGGCAUUGAUGCAUGCCUUUUGUGCAAGUCCGUAUUUCGAGCCCUUUGCCAUCCCAUUGCUUCUAGAUAAACUUUCUUCCUCUCUUCCAUUAGCAAAGCUUGAUUCCUUAAAAUAUUUGGACAAUUGCAUUCACUGCUAUGGAGCUGAUAGAAUGGUUACACACGCAUCAGCUAUUUGGUUUAAGUUGAAAGAAGUGCUUUUGAGCCUUUCUUCAGAUCAACUUUUAUCAUCAGGGUCACCUAAAGAUGCAGAGAAUAAUAAGAAUCAAAUAAAAUCAGAAGCUGAACAUUGCUUGAAGACUGCUGUUACAUAUAUACAUUCUCCGGAUAGAGAUAUUUUCAUCAAUUUGAUCUUGUUGGAUGAGGAUAUUGUGAAUAACAUCCAUUCUGUAACAACUGAAGAGAAGUCCAUCGAUAGUUCAUUGCAAGCCCUUGGAAGUGUCGUUUCUAUUCUUGCUGGGUCAUCUACAUAUUUGUGCACUAGAGUUUUUCAAGCACAUUUUAAACGCUUGGUGGAUAUUUUGGGAAACUCAGCUGGUUUUGAUUCUCAACACCUGAGCAUCGCCAAUGGAUCAUCUCCUGCUGCUAUUAACUAUGGAGCUCUCUAUUUAUCUGUUCAAAUGCUUUCAUCCUGCCGAGAAGUCGCUGUGGCAUCUCGAGAAGGCGUCCCAGCAGAGGAGUCCUGGUGGCUUAUCUUAGAGGAGAAGCUGGAUCAAAUCAUCCAUCUUUUCGGAAAAUUGCUGACUAUUGAUUGUCAGCCUACCCAGUCAGCGGUCAGAAAAGAAUGUGUUUCGUGUGCUGUGAAGGGUUUGCUGAUACUUGCAACUAUCCCGGAACAAUGUUCACUUCUACUGGAAAAUGCUUAUGAGGAUAUUCUGCAGAUGCUUACCUUAGUAAUUACAAGCAAGUAUGAAAAUGCACAUUUCUGGAGAUUAUCAUUGAAAACAUUGACUAGCAUUGGCUCAUCUGCUGUGGAAUUACAUGCUUCUAAAAGAGAAAUGGUUUACAAUAGAAUUGUUGUCGACAAGAUUAUUUGUUUGGCUGAAUCUUGUGAUGCAUCGAUGCCUCUGAAUCUAAGACUUGAAGCAUGUUUUGAAGUUGGCACCGCUAGUGUGAACUAUAUGUUAAGGGUUGCCAGAUCACUUGAAGAAACUGUCAUCAGAAAUAUCUCUCAGGUUAAUGGAAGUAUAGAAUGUGCGGACUAUGUAGCCUGUCUGAUUGAUUGUUACUCUAGUCGUCUCCUUCCUUGGUUCUUUACUUCCGGUGGUCUCAAUGAACUUGCUUUGAGCUUUGCUCUGCGUCUCUGGGAUGAGAUUGGGGACUUGGUUACUCUGGAUCGAAUCAUAUCAGAGGGUCUUCUUGAGUCACUAAUGAUGGGAAUGAAGUUAUUAGUCGGAGUCUGCACAGAGGAACAACAGUCAUUGAUUGUUCAGAAAGCAUGCGGUAUAGUAUCAUCGAUGCUGUCUCUCCCAGUGAAAGCAUUGACACACCAUCUUUUGUCUGUUGACGAGUUAGUUCCUGCACACUCUGUUCAAGAUACAGCUCUUGUGUGUAUGCUUUCAUCAGUCAUAGUUGGUCUUUGGCCUCAAACACCUGUACCAGAAAUGAUGAUGAUGAUUAACCUCUUUUCGGUCUUUCUACUGAAUGGGCAUAUACCAGCUGCUCAUGCAUUAGCUUCUAUUUUCAAUAAAUACCUACAGAAUUCAGAGUUCUCACACGAGAUUAAACUGGAUAAAAUACUUGAUGUUAUUCUUGGGGGAUGUUUCUCAAUUGUAUUACCCAGCAGCAAUUUGAAGAUGUCUCGCUCUUCUGCUGCCACUUCGGAUAAUGCUGACUUCUCAGACAGUUUGCCUGGAAGCAUAGGUUCAAAGAUUGAUAUCUUAUGUGGCUUGGCAUGGAUUGGCAAAGGAUUGCUUAUGAGAGGAGAUGAGAAAGUGAAGGAAAUUUCAAUGUUUCUUCUUAAAUGCCUCUCAUCAGAGGCUUCUCUAGCAUCAGCUGCAGCUGAUGCAUUCCAUGUGAUGAUGGGUGAUUCAGAAGUCUGCCUAAAUAAAAAGUUCCAUGCAAGAAUAAAGUUUUUGUAUAAGCAGCGUUUUUUCUCAAUACUGAUGCCAAUUUUUCUCUCUAAAAUUAAGGAGACCUCAGAGCUGACAACAAAAUUGGUGAUAUAUCGAGCAUUCGGACAUAUUAUUUCCAAUGCUCCAGUGUCAGCAGUUAUAACAGAAGCCCAUCAGAUUUUGCUCGUGAUGGUUGAUAUCUUAGCCAAAUUGAGCGUGGAUAAUCAGGAUAAAGAUCUAGUGUAUAGUUUGUUGCUUGUUUUAUCUGGAAUGCUGAUGGAUGAAAAAGGCAAAGAAUGCAUUGUGGAAAAUAUCCGCAUCAUUAUCAGUGUACUUGCACAACUUGUUUCCUAUCCUCACAUGAUGGUUGUUCGGGAGACUGCCUUGCAAUGUUUUGUUGCCAUGUCUAGCUUUCCCCACUCAAAAGUUUAUCGCAUGCGGCCACAGGUCCUACAAGCAGCAAUCAAGGCUCUUGAUGAUAAGAAAAGGGCUGUUCGCCAAGAGGCUGUUCGAUGUCGACAAACAUGGCAAUCAUCAUUUGCUUAA
rnacentral:rRNA from 1 species